rnacentral:lncRNA from 1 species
UUUUCUUUUACUCAUCAUUUGUAUUUUUAUUUUAAAACAUUGUAUUUCUUUUUUAGUUUGUAGUCAUUCAAAUAGGUAUAUAAUGUAUCCGUUGCAAUUCUAUAUAUUAUGAUUGAAUACAUAAUUUAUAUAAUUGUGACUAAUGCAUUAUAAGGAGGGAAAUAGAAACUUAUUGGUAUUCAUUUUUUCAUUUGAAAUACAAAAUCAUACUGAAAUACAACCUGAUAUUUGAAAUACAAACUUAGUAAGACAUAUUUUGUUACUGAAAUACAACCUGAUAUUUGAUAUACUAACUCAGUAAGACAUAUUUUGUAUUUUAUUUGGCUAAAGCAAUAUAAUUUUUAUGAAUACAUAAUAUAUAAAAUUGCGACGAAUACAUCAUAAG